rnacentral:misc_RNA from 1 species
CACGUGAGCCUCAAGCGUUACCCGGAUUUACUGGGCGUAAAGGGUGUGUAGGCGGUUGUGUUAGUCGUUCGUUAAAUUCCGGGGCUCAACCUCGGACCCGCGGACGAAACGGCACAACUUGAGGGCGCGAGAGGUCUGCGGAACUCAUGGUGUAGGGGUGAAAUCCGUUGAUAUCAUGGGGAACACCGAAAGCGAAGGCAGCAGACUGGCGCGUUCCUGACGCUCAGACACGAAAGCCAGGGUAGCGAACGGG